rnacentral:tRNA from 6 species
GGGCGAUUAGGUAAGUGGCAUACCAGCGGUCUCCAAAACCGCUGUCGGAGGUUCGAUUCCUCCAUCGCCCGCAA